CCUCUGCAGGCUGUCUGGCCCCCAGGCUGAGCUGGAUGAGUAUGUCUUCGAAAGGCUCACACUCAAGCACGACUAGGACC
rnacentral:pre_miRNA from 1 species